rnacentral:rRNA from 1 species
CAACUUUCAGCAACGGAUGUCUUGGCUCUCGCAUCGAUGAAGAACGCAGCGAAAUGCGAUACGUAAUGUGAAUUGCAGAACUCAGUGAAUCAUCGAAUUUUUGAACGCACCUUGCGCUCUUUAGUUAUUCUGAAGAGCAUGCUUGUUUGAGUGUCGCGAACCUCUCAACCCCGCCCAAGGCUUAAUUGACUUGCGGUUGUCUGGGCUUGGAUCAUGGUCUCUUGUCGUUACCUUCGGGUUUGGACUGGACUGAAAUACAA